rnacentral:rRNA from 1 species
GACGGACGCUGGCGGCGUGCUUAACACAUGCAAGUCGAACGGAAAGGCCCUGCUUUUGUGGGGUGCUCGAGUGGCGAACGGGUGAGUAACACGUGAGUAACCUGCCCUUGACUUUGGGAUAACUUCAGGAAGCUGGGGCUAAUACCGGAUAGGAGCUCCUGCUGCAUGGUGGGGGUUGGAAAGUUUCGGCGGUUGGGGAUGGACUCGCGGCUUAUCAGCUCGUUGGUGGGGUAGUGGCUUACCAAGGCUUUGACGGGUAGCCGGCCUGAGAGGGUGACCGGCCACAUUGGGACUGAGAUACGGCCCAGACUCCUACGGGAGGCAGCAGUGGGGAAUAUUGCACAAUGGGCGGAAGCCUGAUGCAGCAACGCCGCGUGCGGGAUGACGGCCUUCGGGUUGUAAACCGCUUUCGCCUGUGACGAAGCGUGAGUGACGGUAAUGGGUAAAGAAGCACCGGCUAACUACGUG